UACGAAGGGAGCUAGCGUUGUUCGGAAUCACUGGGCGUAAAGCGCACGUAGGCGGAUUUGUCAGUCAGGGGUGAAAUCCCGGGGCUCAACCUCGGAACUGCCUUUGAUACAGCAAGUCUUGAGUUCGAGAGAGGUGGGUGGAAUUCCUAGUGUAGAGGUGAAAUUCGUAGAUAUUAGGAAGAACACCGGUGGCGAAGGCGGCCCACUGGCUCGAUACUGACGCUGAGGUGCGAAAGCGUGGGGAGCGAACAGG
rnacentral:rRNA from 1 species